CCUACGGGUGGCAGCAGUGAGGAAUAUUGGUCAAUGGGCGCGAGCCUGAACCAGCCAAGUCGCGUGAGGGAAGACGGCCCUAUGGGUUGUAAACCUCUUUUGUCGGGGAGCAAAAGACGCCACGCGUGGCGUUCCGAGAGUACCCGAAGAAUAAGCAUCGGCUAACUCCGUGCCAGCAGCCGCGGUAAUACGGAGGAUGCGAGCGUUAUCCGGAUUUAUUGGGUUUAAAGGGUGCGUAGGCGGGAGAUCAAGUCAGCGGUAAAAUUGUGUGGCUCAACCUGUUCGAGCCGGUGAAACUGGUUUCCUUGAGUGCGCGAGAAGUAUGCGGAAUGCGUGGUGUAGCGGUGAAAUGCAUAGAUAUCACGCAGAACUCCGAUUGCGAAGGCAGCAUACCGGCGCUCAACUGACGCUCAAGCACGAAAGUGUGGGUAUCGAACAGGAUUAGAUACCCGUGUAGUC
rnacentral:rRNA from 1 species